AGGCGAAACGCCCUGCGGGGCGUCCGGCCGGGUGGUUCCCGGUCGCUGAUGAGCCAACCAGCCAAAG
rnacentral:hammerhead_ribozyme from 1 species